rnacentral:misc_RNA from 1 species
AACAAGGCGUACCUGCGGACCUGCGGAGGGAUCAUUACGAGAGUGUCACCACUCCCAACCCAUUGUUUACCUACCCGUCCACCGUGCUUCGGCAGGCAGCCCUGUGGGACAGAGCCUCGCCCCCUUUCGCGGGGGGUGCCUGCCGCUUGCCAACCAAAACUCUAGCUGUUUUAGUACCAUCUGAGUCUUCCACAAAUGAACAAAACUUUUAACAAUGGAUCUCAGAUCGGAAGAGCACAC